AGUGCAUCCCUCAGACCAUUUGGGGCAUUGACAUCCUGUGCCAGUGUGAACAGAGCGCGAGCGUUCAGUUGUGGAGGCUACAGCACAUCGAGCUUGUGGAUGGACAGACAUGAGGCGUGACAUGCGGAAACAUCCGGCGCACCCCACGAGAAGCAGUGCAUGAUCAACACCACCCUCAGCAAGGAGAUCUGCUCUCUCACCCUCUCACUCUGGGGCUUAGUGGAUGUUUCACCUAUCCUCAGCCACCUUCCAGACGGUGAAGAUGAAGCCUCAGUACCCUGGCUCCUGGUUGCUGCACUGCCACAUCACAGACCACAUCAUGGCUGGUAUGGAGACCAUCUACACCACCAUUGAGAAAGGUG